rnacentral:rRNA from 1 species
UCGAUUUGAAGGUUGUAGACUUUGAGCUGUGACUUUCGGAGCUAACGCGUUAAAUCGACCGCCUGGGGAGUACGACCGCAAGGUUAAAACUCAAAUGAAUUGACGGGGGCCCGCACAAGCGGUGGAGCAUGUGGUUUAAUUCGAUGCAACACGAAGAACCUUACCUACUCUUGACAUCCAAAGAAUCUUGUAGAAAUAUGAGAGUGCCUUCGGGAACUUUGAGACAGGUGCUGCAUGGCUGUCGUCAGCUCGUGUUGUGAAAUGUUGGGUUAAGUCCCGCAACGAGCGCAACCCUUAUCCUUUGUUGCCAACGAGUAAAGUCGGGAACUCAAAGGAGACUGCCGGUGAUAAACCGGAGGAAGGUGAGGAUGACGUCAAGUCAUCAUGGCCCUUAUGAAUAGGGCUACAAACGUGCUACAAUGGCGUAUACAAAGAGAAGCAAUCUCGUGAGAGCAAGCAAACCUCACAAAGUGCGUCUAAGUCCGGAUUGGAGUCUGCAACUCGACUCCAUGAAGUCGGAAUCGCUAGUAAUCGUGGAUCAGAAUGUCACGGUGAAUACGUUCCCGGGCC